GGAGGCUAGCGUUGGGCGUGGACCGUCGAGGUCACUGGCGGCUGUCGGAUCAGCUGUUGCUUGCUGACCUGGCAGCCAUGGGUAAUGACGGAUGCCCAGACCCUGUGGGCGGAGUAAAGAAAUCCUGCACUGAUACACGCACACUCACCGAGGGGCGCGGCCGUCUGCGUGGCCCUCAUCUCGUAGCCGAAAAGAGCGCGUUCCGGGGCAGGCCUCCGGGUACUUCCCGCAGAGGACCGGGCUUUAUCCUCUUUGCUCCUUUUCCUCCCCUAUCAAACAAAGGCUCCAGAGGUAUAUGAAAAAAGGAAACAAAGCCAGAAGUUUAACAUCAACAAGAAAGAAAAAAGAAGAAAUCUACAUUUAAAAGUAUUAGAUAUCCUGUUCUGCUGUCCCACACCUUCAAACCUCAGUAAAUAAAUGCUGCUAAGUGCCACCAGGAGUGAAAGAGCUUGUAAUGAGAAGUGUGAGGAGAUAUGUGCUCCAUUCAUCAUUCUGUUCAGGCCAAUAUUGAGGCUCUUGUUAUCAGCAGGAUUCGUGGCGAUG